UUUUGUAUUGAUGACCUGUUGACUCUUGACAUAUUUUGCUUUGUCUGCUUCUAGACGUUCAACGGCGCUGAUGGAACGACCCCUGCUUCCCGAAUCCAUCUGCCGGCGCAGGUCUCUGGGUCGCGCCGCUAUUGUCCUGCGCCGUUCCGCUUGGGUUGACCUGUAGAGCUGGCACCGGGGCACUUCAGAGUUUAACAGACAAGGGUCGUGUCCUUUUCCGUCUGUACCUGGAACCCUGCGGAGACAAAAGCCUCCCAUGAACCCCCUCUGAAGUCCAACGCAAUAAAUCCCGUCUGAAGGGGAACUGCAACAUUUUCCAGAUGUCAGCGAGGACGGGAAAAGCAUCUAUUGUUUAGGGAAGUUCCGGGAAAGAAUUUUGAACAGCUGGUGGGCCUGCAGGGGUGAUCACAGCCGUCCAACAAGGUCAAAGAGAAACCAGAUGUGUUCUGUCGGGUUGUAUCUAAGCCUGGUCUCCUGAAGACCUCACGAGAACCAAACCAAGAAACCAAGAACAAGAACAUUUGCUCAAUUCUUUACUAAUGUUUUUGACCAGCCAAGCUACCACAAAGAGCUCCCAUGUUGGAUUUUUGAUCAAAAAGGAACUAUAACAUCGAGCAUCUCAUGCAUUAUUUAUCGGCCCAGACAAUAGAGCCCUCUGGCUCUGGAGAUAAGAGACUGAAUGCCGUGGCUCAUUAGUAAGAGAAGCCGAGAGAAAGAGAUGACAUGACAAUAAAAUUCGACAGAGACAAACUCUCAGAACAAAAGCAGAGGUGGUGUGUAUCUCCUGUCUAUGCUGAGGUGCGGCGUGUCAUUAUGUAGUUGAUGUAUGAUGGCGGGAGGGUGGGGGUCUCUUUAAAACACAACACCCCCCCCCACAGGACCCUCUAAAUUCACUCCACAUCAUGAGGUGGACACUCAACAGAGUCUGUGCUGCUAUUGUCAUUCAAACGUGCCAAAUGUGAGUGUGGAUUGUCGGAGACUGAUGGGCAGGGUGAGCGGAUGGGCGUCUUUUCAUGCGGGUCGUGUGACCCUGUUUACACCCGGUUUUGUCUCGCGUGAUCCCAUCAAACGACUCAGUGAUAAACACGGGUGUAAACGACUGUUUUAUUUUAAAUUGAUUGCCGUUUUGACAAAAAAUAAUUUAGGCAUUUUAAUGUGUUCGUAAAGGUUAUUUUAGUUUAAAAAAUUAAAAAACGUUUCUGUUCAUUUAUAUUGACCUAAAAUUGAUUGGAAAAACUUAAAAUAAAUGAAAAAUUGAAAU